CUGGGUGUGGCGCAGUUUGGUAGCGCGCCAGAAUGGGGUUCUGGAGGCCGCAAGUUCAAGUCUUGUCACCCAGACCA
rnacentral:tRNA from 1 species